GAUGAACGCUGGCGGCGUGCCUAAUACAUGCAAGUCGAGCGAACGGACGAGAAGCUUGCUUCUCUGAUGUUAGCGGCGGACGGGUGAGUCACACGUGUAUAACCUCCCUAUCAGACUGGGAUAACUUCGGGAAACCGGCGCUAAUCCCGGAUAAUCUUUUGAACCGCAUUGUUCAAAGGUGAAAUACGGUCUUGCUGUCACUUAUAGAUGGAUCCGCGCUGCAUUGGCUAGUUGGUAAGGUAACGGCUUAGCAAGGCAACGAUGCAUAGCCGACCUGAGAGGGUGAUAGGCGACACUGGAACGGAGACGCGGACCAGACUCCUACGGGAGGCAGCAGUAGGGAAUCUGAGGCAAUGGGCGAAAGCCUGACGGAGCAACGCCGCGUGAGUGACGAAGGUCUUGGGAUCGUAAAACUCUGUUAUGAGGGAAGAACAGAUGUGUAAGGAACUGUGCACAUCGUGACGGUACCUAAUCAGAAAGCAACGGCUAACUACGUG
rnacentral:rRNA from 1 species